rnacentral:rRNA from 1 species
AGUGAACGCUGGCGGUAGGCCUAACACAUGCAAGUCGAACGGCAGCACAGUAAGAGCUUGCUCUUACGGGUGGCGCGUGGCGGGCGGGUGAGGAAUACAUCGGACUCUACUUUUUCGUGGGGGAUAACGUAGGGAAACUUACGCUAAUACAGCAUACGACCUACGGGUGAAAGCAGGGGAUCUUCGGACCUUGCGCGAUUGAAUGAGCCGAUGUCGGAUUAGCUAGUUGGCGGGGUAAAGGCCCACCAAGGCGACGAUCCGUGGCUGGUCUGAGAGGAUGGUCAGCAACACUGGAACUGAGACACUGUCCAGACUCCUACGGGAGGCAGCAGUGGGGAAUAUUAGACAAUGGGCGCAAGUCUGAUCCAGCCGUACCGCGUGGGUGAAGAAGGCCUUCGGGUUGUAAAGCCCUUUUGUUGGGAAAGAAAAGCAGCAGGUUAAUACCGCGCUGUUCUGACGGUACCCAAUGAAUAAGCACCGGCUAACUUCGUG